CUUUUUAUUGAAUUAGGGAACAUAUGAGGUAUACCACUUAUUCUCUCGAUGUGUGUUUUUGUACCUAAGUUUGCUUUCCAAUUUUAUCUUGUCUGUCUUUUUUUUUUUUUUUCUCUCUCUGAGGUCCUGGCUGUCUCACUCUAUGUAGCUAAAUUCAUCUUCCUAUUGAAUGAAGCAGAUAGCGUGCUAUCUUUUUUCUCAAAAAAAGUAUUACAAACUUCUUUACAAUAGACUAUACCUGAGCUUCUAGUUCACAAUAUGCCCAAAUGUGUCAUGAGUUAAAAAUAAAUCUAAAAUCAGAAUCAAAAUUAAAAUGAAAAAACCUUGAUGAUUAAUAUAUGUAGUUCCAUGUUUGAAACCGAGUUAUUUUAUGUAUCCAGUUAAGUUUAUUUUAAAAAAUAAAUAAA
rnacentral:lncRNA from 1 species